rnacentral:lncRNA from 1 species
GAAACAAUGAGCUCUGAGAUAACUUUCUAAAAUAGUAGGAUAAUUUAUAUCGACACAGGAAUCUCACAGAUCUGUUGAUUCUCUCAUUCCAAAGGUCACAAAAACACAUGGAACUUCCUGGAUGAAUGAGGGAGGGAUGGUACUACACUCUCAGAGGAGCAGGAAGAACUGUAUACAGUUAAUUACCCAACGGCAGAGAGAAAAACGAGGAGGAAAAGCAGGCCACCGCAUUUUGGCAGUAUUCUCAACAGUCUCAACAGCCCAGCUGGUAUUAAAGAAUGUCCACCACAGUCAUCCCCACCAAUAACAUGGAAAACAGCUUCAUCAUCCUGACCCAAGUGAUACCAGCACAAUCAGCUCCAUCUGGAACAGGACAGAACGGACCAGAGCCUGGAGCAGGAUUCUUCACCAGGCCAUUAUCCACAACCACAGGACAUGACCAGGACCGCUUCAGCCCAGGCCAAUCCAGGAGUUUCCUCAAGAGAGAGACAAAAGUCCUCGGGACGGUGCAAAUUAUGAUGGGCAUAAUGUCAUUUUUGUUUAGUAUUGUCCUACUCUAUGAAACCUACAUGUUGCUGUUCACACGUAGCUUACACGGAUUCUGGGGAUCCGCAAUCUACAUCUUUGCUGGAAUUCUGUCUGUGGUUGCAGAGAAUAAAUAUCAUCCUCAGUUGGUAGGUACAUCUUACACAUCUUACUAAUAGUAGUAUACACAGGGGUUGGACAAUGAAACUGAAA